rnacentral:rRNA from 1 species
GUGCCAGCCGCCGCGGUAAGACAGAGGGUGCAAACGUUGUUCGGAAUUACUGGGCGUAAAGCGAGUGUAGGCGGUCUGAAAAGUCGGAUGUGAAAGCCCCGGGCUCAACCCGGGAAGUGCAUUCGAAACUGCCAGGCUAGAGUGUCGGAGAGGUUGGUGGAAUUCUCGGUGUAGAGGUGAAAUUCGUAGAUAUCGAGAGGAACACCGGUGGCGAAGGCGGCCAACUGGACGAACACUGACGCUGAGACUCGAAAGCGUGGGGAGCAAACAGGAUUAGAUACCCUGGUAGUCC